rnacentral:rRNA from 1 species
CCUACGGGGGGCAGCAGUCGAGAAUCAUUCACAAUGGGGGAAACCCUGAUGGUGCGACGCCGCGUGGGGGAAUGAAGGUCUUCGGAUUGUAAACCCCUGUCAUGUGGGAGCAAAUUAAAAAGAUAGUACCACAAGAGGAAGAGACGGCUAACUCUGUGCCAGCAGCCGCGGUAAUACAGAGGUCUCAAGCGUUGUUCGGAAUUACUGGGCGUAAAGUGUGCGUAGGCUGUUUCGUAAGUCGUGUGUGAAAGGCGCGGGCUCAACCCGCGGACGGCACAUGAUACUGCGAGACUAGAGUACUGGAGGGGGAGCCGGAAUUCUCGGUGUAGCAGUGAAAUGCGUAGAUAUCGAGAGGAACACUCGUGGCGAAGGCGGGUUCCUGGACAUUAACUGACGCUGAGGCACGAAGGCCAGGGGAGCGAAAGGGAUUAGAUACCCCAGUAGUC